GUUUAGGUAAGAAUCUGCGUAGCUUGCUAAGGCGAGCUCAGGGAGGACAGAAACCUCCCGCGGAGCAGAAGGGCAAAAGCUCGCUUGAUCUUGAUUUUCAGUACGAAUACAGACCGUGAAAGCGGGGCCUCACGAUCCUUCUGGCUUUUUGGGUUUUAAGCAGGAG